AGCUCCAAUAGCGUAUAUUAAAGUUGUUGCGGUUAAAAGCUCGUAGUUGGAUUUCUGUCAAAGGUAAGGCGGUCCAUCUUAUGGAUGUGCAUCUGCCUAUGCCUUGGCAUCCUCAUGAAGAACGUUUUCGCGCUUCACUGCGUGUUUACGGUAUUCAUGACUUUUACUUUGAGGAAAUUAGAGUGUUCACGGCAGGCAAUCGCUUUGGAUACAUUAGCAUGGAAUAAUACUAUAGGACCUCGGUUCUAUUUUGUUGGUUUCUAGAGCUGAGGUAAUGAUUAAUAGGGAUAAUUGGGGGUCUUUGUAUUGCAACGUCAGAGGUGAAAUUCUUGGAUUGUUGCACGACAAACUACUGCGAAAGCAUUGACCAAGGAUGUUUUCA
rnacentral:rRNA from 1 species